rnacentral:rRNA from 1 species
UACGGAGGGUGCAAGCGUUGUCCGGAUUUAUUGGGUUUAAAGGGUGCGUAGGCGGCCAUUUAAGUCUGGGGUGAAAGCCCGUUGCUCAACAACGGAACUGCCCUGGAAACUGGAUGGCUUGAGUACAGACGAGGGUGGCGGAAUGGAUGCUGCAGCGGUGAAAUGCAUAGAUAGCAUCCAGAACCCCGAUUGCGAAGCAGCUGCCUAGACUGUAACUGACGCUGAGGCACGAAAGCGUGGGGAGCGAACAGG